UACGUAGGGUCCGAGCGUUGUCCGGAAUUACUGGGCGUAAAGAGCUCGUAGGUGGUUUUGUCGCGUUGUUUCGUGAAAAACUCACAGCUUAACUGUGGGCGUGCGGGCGAUACGGGGCAGACUUGAGUACUGCAGGGGGAGACUGGAAUUCCUGGUGUAGCGGUGGAAUGCGCAGAUAUCAGGAAGAACACCCGUGGCGAAGGCGGCUCUCUGGGACGGUACUGACGCUGAGACGCGAAAGCGUGGGGAGCGAACAGG
rnacentral:rRNA from 1 species